ACCUGGAGCCGGUGUGAAAGGCCAAGGCGGCAGGACCGUGGGUUCACAAGCGCCUCAGCCCUGCCGGCACGUCGUCAGAACACGCUCGAAGGAACGAGACCGCAGUCACCCACGCGCGCCCUGCACAGCUGCGCUCCUGCCCUCGGCCCCCGAGUUUCUGCCCCAGGGUUUGGACGACGCUGCUCUCCCCAUCAGCUGGUGGCGGUGGGGCCACAAGUCGGGGCUCUGGCUCCACUCUGUGCACGGCCUGCGUAUCUGAACUCACACAGCGAAAGCCGUGUGCGAUGACCCCACCCGCGGAGAGGACGUCUAGACCCCACACGGCGGUGUCCCCGCCCACAGCAAGUGGCUUCCUCCGCCAGACGGUGUGGCGUGUCAGGAUUCCAGAAGUUAGGAAUCUCAUCUAACCCAGAGCUGUUCAUCACUCUCUGGGGUCACAGCACCACGCUUUAAGGGCGUGUCUUACUGGACACGUAUCAUAACCACGUUCAAAUGCAACUUGGCGUGCCCUCUGGGGAACCUGAAAACUUAGGGCUCAAGGGCUCCCUGUUUCCCUCUGCCACUGAGCACCAGGCUCUCUCUCCAGCUCCUACUUCAGACUCACGACGUCCCUCCUCUCUGCUGCUCAGCCAGCUGGAUAUUUAAUGCAACAGAAAAAAAGCCAGCCAUUGGGACGAACUAAGGAGCUAAGGGAACAAGGAUGGCUGAGACACCAGAACUCGUCUUUUAAAAGAAGUCUGCGGUUAACGUGUGGACCGACACCAGUGGGUCUGAGUGGCAAAUCGCUGUCGUCAAGCACCAGUAUGAAGGCCCGCCCCGCGUGAGUCCGUGACAGACAUCAUCGUCGGUGUCGCUGUAUACGUCAUCGUAGCGGGACAGAGAAUUCGCUGGCAGAUGACACUGCCCUGCUCCCACGGGCCACACUCCCACAGCAGCGGGAAGCGAAUGGGAACCGCCACCGAGGCAGAGCAUAGGCGGCUCACACAGCCAGCCAGGCCCCCGGCGACCAGGACCCCGACGGGAGGACGCCACAGGGACGCAGAAAAGACAGGAGACCAAGUGAAGAACCAAGCCACUCGGUUUCCUUCACCAGAAAGAAAAAAAAAAAAAAAAUAGUUGAAAAAUAAAUAAAAAGCACU